GACGAACGCUGGCGGCGUGCCUAAUACAUGCAAGUCGAGCGGACAGAUGGGAGCUUGCUCCCUGAUGUUAGCGGCGGACGGGUGAGUAACACGUGGGUAACCUGCCUGUAAGACUGGGAUAACUCCGGGAAACCGGGGCUAAUACCGGAUGCUUGUUUGAACCGCAUGGUUCAAACAUAAAAGGUGGCUUCGGCUACCACUUACAGAUGGACCCGCGGCGCAUUAGCUAGUUGGUGAGGUAAUGGCUCACCAAGGCAACGAUGCGUAGCCGACCUGAGAGGGUGGUCGGCCACACUGGGACUGAGACACGGCCCAGACUCCUACGGGAGGCAGCAGUAGGGAAUCUUCCCCAAUGGACGAAAGUCUGGCGGAGCAACGCCGCGUGAGUGAUGAAGGUUUUCGGAUCGUAAAGCUCUGUUGUUAGGGAAGAACAAGUGCCGUUCAAAUAGGGCGGCACCUU
rnacentral:rRNA from 1 species